rnacentral:rRNA from 1 species
CGACCGGGUGAGUAACACGUGACUAACCUACCUUCAAUGGGGGAUAACCUCGGGAAACCGGGGCUAAUACCGCAUAACAUCUUUGGAGUGGAAAUUCUGGAGAUCAAAGGAGCAAUUCGCUGGAAGAGGGGGUCGCGGCUGAUUAGCUAGUUGGCGGAGUAAAAGCCCACCAAGGCGACGAUCGGUAGCUGGUGUGAGAGCACGACCAGUCACACGGGCACUGAGACACGGGCCCG